GACGAACGCUGGCGGCGUGCCUAAUACAUGCAAGUAGAACGCACAGUUUAUACCGUAGCUUGCUACACCAUAGACUGUGAGUUGCGAACGGGUGAGUAACGCGUAGGUAACCUGCCUGGUAGCGGAGGAUAACUAUUGGAAACGAUAGCUAAUACCGCAUAAUAUUAAUUAUUGCAUGAUAAUUAAUUGAAAGGUGCAAUUGCACCACUACCAGAUGGACCUGCGUUGUAUUAGCUAGUAGGUGAGGUAACGGCUCACCUAGGCGACGAUACAUAGCCGACCUGAGAGGGUGAUCGGCCACACUGGGACUGAGACACGGCCCAGACUCCUACGGGAGGCAGCAGUAGGGAAUCUUCGGCAAUGGACGAAAGUCUGACCGAGCAACGCCGCGUGAGUGAAGAAGGUUUUCGGAUCGUAAAGCUCUGUUGUAAGAGAAGAACGGGUGUGAGAGUGGAAAGUUCACACUGUGACGGUAUCUUACCAGAAAGGGACGGCUAACUACGU
rnacentral:rRNA from 1 species